rnacentral:rRNA from 1 species
CCUACGGGAGGCAGCAGUGGGGGAUAUUGCACAAUGGGCGAAACCCUGAUGCAGCGACGCCGCGUGAGUGAAGAAGUAUUUCGGUAUGUAAAGCUCUAUCAGCAGGGAAGAAAAUGACAGUACCUGACCAAGAAGCCCCGGCUAACUACGUGCCAGCAGCCGCGGUAAUACGUAGGGGGCAAGCGUUAUCCGGAUUUAUUGGGUUUAAAGGGGGCGUAGGCGGGCUUUUAAGUCAGCUGUGAAAGUCCGCGGCUCAACCGUGGAAUUGCAGUUGAAACUGGAGGCCUUGAGUGCACACAGGGAUGGCGGAAUGCAUGGUGUAGCGGUGAAAUGCUUAGAUAUCAUGAAGAACUCCGAUCGCGAAGGCAAGUGUCCGGGGUGCAACUGACGUUGAGGCUCGAAAGUGUGGGUAUCAAACAGGAUUAGAUACCCUUGUAGUC